UACAGAGGUCCCGAGCGUUGUUCGGAUUCAUUGGGCGUAAAGGGCGCGUAGGCGGGUGCUCAAGUCCGGGGUGAAAUCCUCCAGCUCAACUGGAGAACUGCCUCGGAUACUGGGUGCCUCGAGUGUGGUAGGGGUGUGCGGAAUUCUCGGUGUAGCGGUGAAAUGCGUAGAUAUCGAGAGGAACACCUGCGGCGAAGGCGGGUUGCUGGGCUGAUACUGACGCUGAGGAGCGAAAGCGUGGGGAGCGAACAGG
rnacentral:rRNA from 1 species